rnacentral:tRNA from 1 species
GCCGACAUAGCUCAGCUGGUAGAGCAUCUCCCUCGUAAAGAGAAGGUCGGAGGUUCGCCUCCUCUUGUCGGCACCA